rnacentral:rRNA from 1 species
CCAAUAGCGUAUAUUAAAGUUGUUGCAGUUAAAAAGCUCGUAGUUGAAUUUCGGGAUUAGUACGCUGGUCGUGCCUUUGGUAUGUACUGGUGUUACUGAUUCCUACCUUCUGACGAACCGUCAUGUCAUUAAUUUGGUGUGGCGGGAAAUCAGGACUGUUACUUUGAAAAAAUUAGAGUGUUUAAAGCAGGCUCGCGCUUGAAUACAUUAGCAUGGAAUAAUGAAAUAGGACGUUCGAUCCUAUUUUGUUGGUUUCUAGGAUUGACGUAAUGAUUAAUAGGGAUAGUUGGGGGCAUUAGUAUUCAAUUGUCAGAGGUGAAAUUCUUGGAUUUAUUGAAGACUAACUACUGCGAAAGCAUUUGCCAAGGAUGUUUUCAUUAAUCAAGAACGAAAGUCAGGGGAUCGAAGACGAUCAGAUACCGUCGUAGUCUUAACCAUAAACUAUGCCGACUAGGGAUCGGAUGAUGUUAAUUUUUUAAUGACUCAUUCGGCGCCUUACG